AGGGAUAGAUAACUGCUGAAAAGGUGGUUCAAUAGGUAGAAUGGAUGAAUAGUCAGGAAAAGUAGUUAUCAUUUGUAGUAUAGGAGUUGGUAUCUCGGGGUAGUAUAAGGAGGAUGGGAGAGGGGAAGAAAAUGCCAGACUGUGAUAGUACUGAGCCGGGGAUAAGCUUGGUGCUAUCUCUUCUUCUUAGUUUUUUUAUUUCUUUUGUGUUA
rnacentral:lncRNA from 1 species